ACGAACGCUGGCGGCGUGCUUAACACAUGCAAGUCGCACGAUGAUGCCAGCUUGCUGGUGGAUUAGUGGCGAACGGGUGAGUAACACGUGAGCAACCUGCCCCUGACUUCGGGAUAACCGCGGGAAACCGUGGCUAAUACCGGAUAUGACGCGCUAUCGCAUGGUGGUGUGUGGAAAGAUUUAUCGGUUGGGGAUGGGCUCGCGGCCUAUCAGCUUGUUGGUGGGGUGAUGGCCUACCAAGGCGACGACGGGUAGCCGGCCUGAGAGGGUGACCGGCCACACUGGGACUGAGACACGGCCCAGACUCCUACGGGAGGCAGCAGUGGGGAAUAUUGCACAAUGGGCGCAAGCCUGAUGCAGCGACGCCGCGUGAGGGAUGACGGCCUUCGGGUUGUAAACCUCUUUCAGUAGGGAAGAAGGCCUUCGGGUUGACGGUACCUGCAGAAGAAGCGCCGGCUAACUACGUG
rnacentral:rRNA from 1 species